GUCAUCACGCCCGAGUAUUUGACAUUCGCAAUUAUCUGCAAAUACCCUGAUCAGUUUGUAUAUGAAACACUUUUUUUCCUGCCUUAAGGUUGGAAUCUGGAACCUGAUCCUGGCCCCCGGCAGAGCAUAAGGGCCCGAGGCCAGGGACCUAGAGGCCGGACCAAGUUCGCGCGAGGUGUUCACAGCCUAGGCGCCCCGGGCUUGGCUUCGUACUCUGCAACAAGCCAAGCUCCCUUGCCACGAGUAUAUCAGCAACUUCAGAAAUAAACACCAGCGAAACCCCUUCCCACAUUAGCUUGUUGCUGUGCUACUGACACUGGGCUUAGUCGAUGUUCACACCUAUUACAUUUUUCCGGAAAGUGGGAGGAGCAGGGGGUAGAGAAAGCUGUGUGUAUUGAGGGAAGGGGAGAUGUGUGCAACACCUUCCAGAAAAAUGGGGAGGUAGUUUAGAAAGUUUUUCUCUGUAACAGCACAGCUUCUGAGAAGGCAGAGAGAAGAAAGCAGACAGGAAACGAAUCCCUUCCUCCUCUCCCCUUUACCCCCUUCCUUCACUCCCUAGACCAAGCUGGUCACCCGGCUGGGAAUCAAGAUUGUGUGGCUGGGAAGACACCAGUCUCUGUGCUCGGGUUCAGCCCAGUCGGGCAAG
rnacentral:lncRNA from 1 species